GGUGAAGGUAGAAAGUGUGUGUGAGCUGAUGUGGAUGUGAAAUCACAGCAUGGGUCAAUGUGUGGGAAGACAACAAUAUCAAAGUAUUGACAGUAGCCGACUUGGACCUAAACCAGGACUCGGACUCGACUCUGGAUAUGAAUCUGAACAACAACCUGGAUGGCGACCUGAACCUAAACAACGACCCAGACCUGAAUCUGAAUCUGAAUCUGAACCCGAACCCGGAGUGGGACCUGGACCCAGACCCAGCUGUGUGUCCUUGUCUGCUGCAGAGAGGGAUGUGCCCUUAAAGCGUGCCCAGUCAAUGGAUCCUAAAAUAUAUUUCCACAGAUGACCUGUUGCUGCUGCUGCUGAGAGGUAAUGUG